UACGGGGGGGAGCAAGCGUUGUUCGGAUUUACUGGGCGUAAAGGGCGCGUAGGCGGUCAGCACAAGUCAGUUGUGAAAUCUCCGGACUUAACUCGGAAAGGCCAACUGAUACUGUGCGACUAGAGUGCAGAAGGGGCAACUGGAAUUCUCGGUGUAGCGGUGAAAUUCGUAGAUAUUCGCAAGAACACCAGUGCGAAGGCGGCUCACUGGCCCGGUACUGACGCUGAGGUGCGAAAGCGUGGGGAGCAAACAGG
rnacentral:rRNA from 1 species